GUUUUAUUAUCGCCAUUUUACUCACGAAGAAACUGAGCACCAGAGAGGGUAAGCCAGUUGCCCAAGGUCACCCAGCAAUGUGUAGGCCAAGUCACAUGUUCUCAUUUUUGAUGAAUGAGGAGGCACAUUCACUGGGUAUUGUGCCACCCAUCCAUUCUUGGGAGAGGACUUGAUGGGAGUCCUUCCUUCUUGGGUCUUGUCUGCAUUUUGAACACUGAGGAUGCUGGAUAAGUCAGAUCUCCCUUCUCAUUUUUCACAUAGGGUCGGGAAGUUCAUGAAAAGAGCUAAAAUCAGUUUGUUAUUUUUGGUUACUUUUGUCUAGGAUUGCCCAAGCCACCAAUCCUUUCUGAUGACCCAGGUAGUUGGAAAUUGGGGAUGGACUAUCACGUUUCAUUUUUUUUUUUUUUAAGGGUGUGGAUGUCUACAGCCAGGUUGGCAGAGACGAAGGUGACCUUCCUGAGGUCUUACAGAAUCUCAAGCACAAUGUCUUGUCCUUUGGAGGCGCAAUCGGAGCUUCUUUGGAAGCGUGCACGCACCUGGGAUGUGCUGGACACUGUCCAACAUUGCUGGGGCUCCAGGAAUAAACAGAGAACUCUGCGUCACGGACCUUAGUCUCAAUUGGCACAUAGCCAUGGGCAACACCACUGUCUUAGUCUGCUUGGGCUACCUUAACAAGUACCAUGAAUGGCCAGCUUGCACAACAGACACCAUCUCACCGUUCUGGAGGCUGGAAGUCUAGUGUUAAGAGGCAAGCAAGGUUGGUUUCUGGUUAAGGCUCUCUUCUCGGCUUGUAGAUGAUCACAGUCUUGCAGG
rnacentral:lncRNA from 1 species